rnacentral:rRNA from 1 species
CCUACGGGGGGCAGCAGUGAGGAAUAUUGGUCAAUGGACGAGAGUCUGAACCAGCCAAGUAGCGUGAAGGAUGACUGCCCUAUGGGUUGUAAACUUCUUUUAUAUGGGAAUAAAAUGUUCCACGUGUGGGCUUUUGUAUGUACCAUAUGAAUAAGGAUCGGCUAACUCCGUGCCAGCAGCCGCGGUAAUACGGAGGAUCCGAGCGUUAUCCGGAUUUAUUGGGUUUAAAGGGAGCGUAGAUGGAUUGUUAAGUCAGUUGUGAAAGUUUGCGGCUCAACCGUAAAAUUGCAGUUGAAACUGGCAGUCUUGAGUACAGUAGAGGUGGGCGGAAUUCGUGGUGUAGCGGUGAAAUGCUUAGAUAUCACGAAGAACUCCGAUUGCGAAGGCAGCUCACUGGACUGCAACUGACACUGAGGUUGGAAAGUGUGGGUAUCAAACAGGAUUAGAUACCGGGGUAGU